rnacentral:rRNA from 1 species
GACGAACAGAGCGAACGUUGUUCGGAAUCACUGGGCUUAAAGGGCGCGUAGGCGGGUAUCCAAGUCUGUGGUGAAAUCCGGCAGCUUAACUGUCGAACUGCCAUGGAUACUGGGUAUCUCGAGGGAGGUAGGGGCGUGCGGAACUAUUGGUGGAGCGGUGAAAUGCGUUGAUAUCAAUAGGAACUCCGGUGGCGAAGGCGGCACGCUGGACCUCUUCUGACGCUGAGGCGCGAAAGCCAGGGGAGCAAACGGG